UUGACACCCAUUCAUAUUUUUCGAUCUCAUAGGUCCCAUGAGCUCUACCGGAAGAGGCGUGACUUCGCCACUCUAUGGGCAGCUAUUGUUUUGACGUCAACUCGGAGGCUCGGGUUCCUCUACUUCCGUAGAGGAAGUUCCGAGGGAAAUCCACAGAGUGUUCAAGGCGAUUUCCUCCGAUCUGAAGGUCCCAACCUCCGAAAUUCCCAGGAACUCCGACUGUUUGAAGGCACCAAUACUAGAGUGGCGAAGUCACGCCCCUUCCGGUGGUCCCCACGGGACCUAUGAGAUCGAAAAAUGUGAAUGGGUUUCAAUGGAGAGAAAGUAAUUACUUUCUGGUCCCAGUCUUUAUAUGCCCCGGAUUACACAUAUGUUGUUUGUUCUCUGCCGGGAAAGCCUAUGUUGCCAGAAUGGGCGGGUAAUCUGCCCUAAUCUGGCAACACUGGCGGAGGUGUCACUAAAACGAUCCUAAGCAGUUGUAUUUCAUCAGCAGGUUCUGUAUAUAGAUCACAAGUUCCGAGUAUGUUUAUCUUUUCUUGAUAUCUAAUUUGAACAUUUAUGGUCUAAAUCGUUGAUUGAUUGCAGUAUUGGAAAUCUGCAAGGCUGCAAUUCCCCUAUUUGGCCGCUGUUCGUCGCUAUUUUGUCGGCCUCUUUGCCAUGGCAGUCACGUGACUGCAAAGUAUAUAAACUCCCCCACGAUUCGUGCCAGUUGCAGUGUUCCCUCUGAGAAUCAGGUCCUGCAAUUUUUGUCAUCCAAACCAACCCAAACAACCCUUUUUCUAAAACCUCGACCCAAAGGCACUUUUAAGAGCCACAUCUGUCUUGUCAACCUGUCCUUGCAGUGUUGUACUUGUAAGCGUCUGUCUGUCUCUCUCUCUCUCUGUUGCCUGUCACCUGUGUCUGUCUGUCUGUCUGUCUGUCUGUCUGUCUGUCUGUCCCCUUCAUCAUGAGUGAUUCAGAACUCCAGAAUCUGUUUUCGAGGGUGGAUAACAUGGCUGUUCAGCAAGAGGUCAAUGAUGUCCUCCAAGGGGUUGAUGACUUGAUUGCUGUGGUGCAGGAUGAGCAAGCAGCAGCACCGCCAACCAUGAGGUGGAAGAAGAGAACCAGUGACGGGAACUUAAUUCAUGCAAGACCACGAUCAGCUAGGAAUCAGUCCAAUCAGGUUACAGCUGGUAACAGCAGUGGACUUCAACAGCAGAAGACUCAUCCCAACAAAAAUGCUCCUGACUCAAACUCUGAGGUGGUCUUUGCUCCUGAUAACGUUGAUGGAUUUCUACGAGAUCUCCAGCAAUCAUUGAGCGAUGCAACAGGAGAUGGGGUGGAAUCACCAACCCCACAAGCCUCUCUUUCUGCUUCAUUAAACUGGAGCACAAGAAAGAGCAAUUCUUCGGAGAGCUGGAAGGCAGCGAGACCUCGUCUGGUUAACACCGCACUGGCACAAGAAAAUGUGGGAACCCGAAAGUGCCAACAGUGUUGGAGCAAUUUAGCUGUUGUUCGUUGUCGUGAUUGUCUACCACGGCCCUUAUUCUGUGCGGAGUGCGACGUCGUCAUGCACACCAGACACCCCCUUCACAACCGAGAUGCCAGUACUUUGGGAUUUUUCCAGCCAUUGCCCCCAACAACUACUGUACAGAAUAUGGACCUUUGCCAGUGUGUGCGGUAUGUACCUGUGGAGAUCCCUCGCCAAAUCUGUGGUUGUCCAACAGAGGCACUGAGGCUCAAACCAGGAAAAGCUGUGGCUGUGAUCACAAU